rnacentral:rRNA from 1 species
UGGGGAAUAUUGGACAAUGGACCGAGAGUCUGAUCCAGCAAUUCUGUGUGCACGAUGAAGUUUUUCGGAAUGUAAAGUGCUUUCAGUUGGGAAGAAAAAAAUGACGGUACCAACAGAAGAAGUGACGGCUAAAUACGUGCCAGCAGCCGCGGUAAUACGUAUGUCACGAGCGUUAUCCGGAUUUAUUGGGCGUAAAGCGCGUCUAGGUGGUUAUGUAAGUCUGAUGUGAAAAUGCAGGGCUCAACUCUGUAUUGCGUUGGAAACUGUAUAACUAGAGUACUGGAGAGGUAAGCGGAACUACAAGUGUAGAGGUGAAAUUCGUAGAUAUUUGUAGGAAUGCCGAUGGGGAAGCCAGCUUACUGGACAGAUACUGACGCUAAAGCGCGAAAGCGUGGGUAGCAAACAGGAUUAGAUACCCUGGUAGUCCACGCUGUAAACGAUGAUUACUAGGUGUUGGGGGUCGAACCUCAACGCCCAAGCAAACGCGAUAAGUAAUCCGCCUGGGGAGUACGUACGCAAGUAUG